UCCUCCUCCAUGCCGCCGCACCCACCAAACCGCUUCCCUUACUCUCCCCUUUAAUUGCCACCGUCACAUUUCGUGCCAUGGGCCACCUCGACGCUCUCCACCACCCCACUGGCCGUCUCCUCGUUGCCCCCUCCUAAGAAGAAGGUUCGGUCUCAGCCUGCCAUCUCCCUCUUUAAUAGCACAAAAAUUUUCCUACAGCCUCCACCAUCAUCUCUCGUCGGCGUGGAGCACUCAAAGAGGCGACAUUGCCUCUUCUGAUCACCUCCCUUCACAGUGGCUCCCAGGACGACCUCAGGAAGGCCUACCGCAAGGCCGCCAUCAGGAACCACCCCAACAAGGAUGGCGACCCUGAGAAGGCAGGAGAGAGCUUAUGCAGUCUUGAUACCACCAAGCAUCUUGGCAUCAUGUGAGAUUGUGGUAAAUUAUGUCUUGUUCAAUCACUUUCUAAGCUGCUUUGUCGGUACCUAUAAUAGGAAAUAGUUUUCAGCCUCUGCACCACGUGAUGGACACAAUUUGAUUCAUUUCUACAUAAUUAAUGUAUUAUUAUGCAAGCUACGUUGAAAGGGGAAAUGCUUAACAAACUAUAUGAUAAUUGAAACUAGCAAGUUGGUCUGCUCUAAUGGCACGGCUAGACUCACUACAGCAUAAUAGCAUGAAAAAUCUUUGCAUGUGUGAUUAGUAUCCUUUAAUUACACUCAUUUCAAUGCCUACUCAUUUUUUUCAAUUAAUUCCAGGCAUUUCAAUGACUACUCAUUUCCCCCCUUCUAUUGUGCUAUAGCAAAUGCUUGAAGCUAUCAAUACAAUACACAGGGAACUGAUAGUGUACUCUGAUUUGAAGUCGGAUAAUUUUUUUGCUCGUGAGGGGUUCACUUAAACUUAUUAUUGCCAAAGCUACAAUGAAUAAUACAACAAACAUUCAACGUGAUUCUCAAAUAUCAUGAGAUAAAUUCGGUCACACGCUUGUGCAUGCUCAUUGAUGUUGUUUUUUUGCAUUCACUUGUGUAUUAAUAAGAGUAUCAAUAUCUCCAUUUGUAGAUACAUUCACUAUUGUUAUCACAUAUCGUUGUUUGCUGCAUCAUUCUUUGAUUAUUUGUUCGAAUAAAGAUACCCACUAUUGUUAUCACCUAUCGUUGUUCACUGCAACAAAACAAAGAUAUUGUAGCAAUUCUGUGUGUUUUUUCACUCCACAUGCCAGCCUGCUUGUGUGAUGUUGUCCUAUCGGCGUCGUUCAACUAUACCAAAUACCUACUCAAAUUGUAUUUUUAACUUCUAGAUUGACAAUAUAUAUGAGGAGGUCGCUAUAUAUUUAGCAUGUAUUGUAUUUGCAUAUGUUAUUUUAUUUUUAUACAGUCAAGCUUUCAAUAUGAUGUUUAGGUUCCUCAGUUCCUUUUUGGUUUUCUUUUGUUUACAAUUUCGGAGAGACCUAACCUUAAUCUUCCCUUUUUUUAUUUCAUUUUUCCAGCGAACAAAUUCAAUACUUCCCAUGUUUGGGCCAAAGUCCUAUUUGAUUCUUAUCAUUCUAUCUAAAUGAAUACAUUCCAUUAUUUUGUUUGACAUACGAGUUCACUCAAUGCAGACAUUAGUUUGUUAUUUCUGAACUAGAAUUGAUUUGUUGUUCCAUCAGUUAAAAAUUUUGUUGUGUUUGCCCAUC